rnacentral:lncRNA from 1 species
GCAAAAUUAGUCCGUGGCCUGAUACGCGCACGGCAAUUGACCAGUGCAUUUAUUAUUAGCACUUUCAUAAAAACCAAUAAUAAUUUCGAGCGCCAGCAGGAGCGCUCGAUCCGCGCGGGCGACGUGCACUCGUUCGCCAGUGCGGCGACGCUGCCGUGCCCAACACCGCGCCGAUUCGCAUGACCUGCAUCGCGCCGGUCAAGCGCGCUGCAAUUGAGUGGGGGCGACACUCCAGUCGAGCGAAUGCGCCUCUCCUCCUUGCUUGUGGACGCCCUCGCCUCCUCUGCGGGUGCUGCUCCCGCGACCGCGUUUAACCCUGAGAUUUAACUCAGGGAUUUCCUAAUAAAAUGAAGAGAUGGUACCACGGGGGGGGGGGAGAUCUGGGCAUCUGGGGGGGGGGGGCUCUGGGCCAUCUGGGCCAUCUGGGCCAUCUGGGCCUCUAGGCCAUCUGGGCCAUCUGGGCAAUCGAGUCACGUGCGGAGUGUGAUGUUCAACGCUUCAAUCGACACCAAGCAAACUAGUUAGGGUUAGUUCGUUCUUCCGCAAUUCAAACGGAUCUCCGCUGAAAGCGGUCGCGAUGGGCGUGCGGAGUGUGAUGGUCAACGGUUCAAUCGACGAUUUUCCUACGUACAAUUACCUUCGUAUUUUUUUUUAUUAACCAAAUAAAGGUAUUUGCUUCA